AUAAAAUAAACAAAGGAGAGGGAAAAAAAUAGCCAAAAAUCAUAGCAAUACUCUACACCACGGAAAUAGAACAGUCGACAGGAAAAACUGAGAGAAAACCAAUGCGAAAGCUAAAAUUUGUCAGGACGGUGGAAAGAAAACUGACUCUUUUUUUUUCAGAAAAAAAGAAAAAUGAUUAGAUUUUGGAAAUUCUCCCCCCAAAAUCCCCAAAAUUUCUCCCCCUUAUCCCUAAAUUCGCUCCCACAUUUACACCCACACCUUUUAAACAGUCCAAACCGUCCACACUCACCCCACUCUCUUCAGAAUUCUGACUCCGUUCAAACACCUCCACGGCAUCUAGCAAAAAUGAAUCAUUCACUCGCGCAGAGACUCG
rnacentral:lncRNA from 1 species